ACAGGCUUAACACAUGCAAGUCGAGGGGCAGCAUGGUCUUAGCUUGCUAAGGCUGAUGGCGACCGGCGCACGGGUGAGUAACACGUAUCCAACCUGCCGUCUACUCUUGGCCAGCCUUCUGAAAGGAAGAUUAAUCCAGGAUGGGAUCAUGAGUUCACAUGUCCGCAUGAUUAAAGGUAUUUUCCGGUAGACGAUGGGGAUGCGUUCCAUUAGAUAGUAGGCGGGGUAACGGCCCACCUAGUCAACGAUGGAUAGGGGUUCUGAGAGGAAGGUCCCCCACAUUGGAACUGAGACACGGUCCAAACUCCUACGGGAGGCAGCAGUGAGGAAUAUUGGUCAAUGGGCGAUGGCCUGAACCAGCCA
rnacentral:rRNA from 1 species